rnacentral:rRNA from 1 species
GACGAACGCUGGCGGCGUGCUUAACACAUGCAAGUCGAACGGAAAGGCCCUGCUUUUGUGGGGUGCUCGAGUGGCGAACGGGUGAGUAACGCGUGAGUAACCUGCCCUUGACUUUGGGAUAACUUCAGGAAACUGGGGCUAAUAUCGGAUAGGAGCUCCUGCAGCAUGGAGGGGGUUGGAAAGUUUCGGCGGUUGGGGAUGGACUCGCGGGUUACCAGCUUGUUGGUGGGGUAGUGGCUUACCAAGGGUUUGACGGGUAGCCGGCCUGGGAGGGUGACCGGCCACAUUGGGACUAAGAUACGGCCCAGACUGCUACGUGAGGCAGCGGUGGGAAGUAUUGCACAAUGGGCGGAAGCCUGAUGCAGCAGCGCCGCGUGCGGGAUGCCGGCCUUCGGGGUGUAAACCGCUUUCGCCUGUGACGAAGCGUGAGUGACGGUAAUGGGUAAAGAAGCACCGGCUAACUACGUG